rnacentral:rRNA from 1 species
UAACGAAUCUUCCGCAAUGCACGAAAGUGUGACGGAGCGACGCCGCGUGGAGGACGAAGUUCUUCGGAAUGUAAACUCCUGUCAGGGGAAAGAAAGUUCUGAUCUACCCCAGAGGAAGAGGCGGCUAACUCUGUGCCAGCAGCCGCGGUAAUACAGAGGCCUCGAGCGUUAGACGGAAUCACUGGGCUUAAAGCGUGUGUAGGCGGAAGGGUAAGUACCUUGUGAAAUCCCACGGCUUAACCGUGGAACGGCUUGGUAUACUGCUUUUCUUGAGCAAUCUAGGGGCGAGUGGAACAGAUGGUGGAGCGGUGAAAUGCGUAGAUAUCAUCUGGAACGCCAAUGGUGAAGACAACUCGCUGGGGAUUUGCUGACGCUGAGACACGAAAGCCAGGGGAGCGAACGGGAUUAGAUACCCAGGUAGUCCCUGAG